GGGCAGGAAUCAAGCAGCCGUAACAACACUUGG
rnacentral:SRP_RNA from 1 species